GUUUACUCUAAAUACUCCUAACGUUAGCAUUGAUCAUUUUUCUCAUUUUUCAUCAAACCAGCUUAGGAAAAGUAUAUGCUUUAAUACAAAACCAAAUUAAACCUUAAUAAUCAAGUAAGAAUUAUAUUGCUGUUUGCAAUUUUUUUUGUUAUUUUUCAUACAUUUUGUUUAGAUGGCCGUCAGCUUAGAUGAUAAACUUUUAGGUGAGAAAGCUCACUAUUAUUGUAGUAGUAGUGAGGAUGAAGGUGAAUCAGAAAAUUUGGCGGGAGGACCUGAUAAAGGGCUCCAGGAACCACCGAUGAAUGAACUCAAAGAAUAUGCAACUAACACUGGGCCUAAAGGUGUCAUUAAUGACUUUCGAAGGUAUAAACAAUUAGAAAAUGAAAAAAGAGAAGAACAAGAAUUAGAAAGGUUGGAUGUCUUGAAAAAAAUUCAACUAACCUGUAGAUCUGAGCUCGAUGAUAAAAAAGAAAAGGAGAAAGAUGAACAGUUUGAAUUAAAUCUUGAGGACUUGCUGGAAGAUGAAUUUCUCAAAGAAUAUAGACAAAAGAGGAUAGAAGAAAUGCGUAAAAGAUUAGAAAAUGUACCGAGAUUUGGUAAGGUUAUUGCCCUCACAAAGGAAAAUUUUCUCGAUAAUAUUGACAAAGAGGAUCCUUCAGUUAAAAUUGUUAUUCAUCUAUAUGAAGAUGAUAUCCCUGGAUGUGAAGCCAUGAACGGUUGUCUUCAAUGCUUGGCUAAAGAAUACCAAAGCGUGAAAUUCUGUCUAAUAAAGGCUUCUAGCGCAAAAUUAAGCACUUAUUUCUCUUCAUUCGGCGUUCCCGCUAUUUUGGUUUAUAAAAAUAGGGAGUUAAUUGGUAACUUUAUUCGACUAACUGACGAAUUCGGUGACGAUUUCUAUGCUACUGACGUGGAAGAUUUCCUAAUAUCUCAUGGAGUUUUACCCGAUAAAGAGGUUGACAAAGCUAUAAUCAGGUGUGGAGGUGGCCACGUAAAUGACACUGAUUCUGAUCUUGAUCUUGACUGAAUUAGAAGCUAGUCGACAGAUACGUCUUGUCAUUGAUGUUUUCAUUUUGAAUUUUUUACGCAUCUUUUCUCAAAUAAAUAGAUAAUUUAUGAAAUUAAAAAGAAA
rnacentral:misc_RNA from 1 species